rnacentral:rRNA from 1 species
UCCGUAGGCGGGCGACUAAGUCAGAGGUGAAAUCCAACAGCUUAACUGUGGAACUGCCUUUGAUACUGGUUGUCUUGAGUUAUAGUGAAGUAGAUAGAAUAUGUAGUGUAGCGGUGAAAUGCUUAGAUAUUACAUAGAAUACCGAUUGCGAAGGCAGUCUACUAACUAUAUACUGACGCUAAUGGACGAAAGCGUGGGGAGCGAACAGGAUUAGAUACCCUGGUAGUCC